UACGAAGGGGGCUAGCGUUGCUCGGAAUUACUGGGCGUAAAGGGCGCGUAGACGGACAGUUUAGUCAGAGGUGAAAGCCCAGGGCUCAACCUUGGAAUUGCCUUUGAUACUGGCUGUCUUGAGUUCGGGAGAGGUGAGUGGAAUGCCGAGUGUAGAGGUGAAAUUCGUAGAUAUUCGGCGGAACACCAGUGGCGAAGGCGACUCACUGGCCCGAUACUGACGCUGAGGCGCGAAAGCGUGGGGAGCAAACAGG
rnacentral:rRNA from 1 species